rnacentral:rRNA from 1 species
UUCGUGGCUUUUGCGCAUGGGGGAAACCUGAGCAGCAACGCCGCGUGGAGGAGAAGUCCCUUGGGACGUAAACUCCUUUUCGACCGGGACGAUAAUGACGGUACCGGUGGAAGAAGCCCCGGCUAACUCCGUGCCAGCAGCCGCGGUAAUACGGGGGGGGCAAGCGUUGUUCGGAAUUAUUGGGCGUAAAGGGCGCGUAGGCGGUGCGUGCAAGUCUCCUGUGAAAUCCCCGGGCUCAACUCGGGGUCUGCUGGGAGAAACUGCCGUGCUGGGAUGUGGGAGAGGUGAGUGGAAUUCCCGGUGUAGCGGUGAAAUGAGUAGAUAUCGGGGGGAAACACCUGUGGUGAAGGCAGGCUCACUGGACCACAACUUAACUCUCAGACCCGAAAGCUAGGGGGGGCAAACAGGAAUAGAAACCCUGGUAGUCCCUAGCCUUCAACUAUGAACGCUUUUGUGCGGAGAAUACCUAUCCCGUUGUGCCAGCGCUAACGCUAUAAGCAUUCCACCUGGGGAGUACC